rnacentral:rRNA from 1 species
UACGUAGGGGGCGAGCGUUGUCCGGAUUCAUUGGGCGUAAAGAGCUCGUAGGCGGUUCGCUAAGUCAGGUGUGAAAUCUCCACGCUCAACGUGGAGGGGCCACCUGAUACUGGCGUGACUCGAGUCCGGUAGGGGAGUGUGGAAUUCCCGGUGUAGCGGUGAAAUGCGCAGAUAUCAGGAGGAACACCGGUGGCGAAGGCGAGUCUCUGGACAGUUACUGACGCUGAGGCACGAAGGCCAGGGGAGCAAACGGG